rnacentral:rRNA from 1 species
AGUGAACGCUGGCGGUAGGCCUAACACAUGCAAGUCGAACGGCAGCACAGUAAGAGCUUGCUCUUACGGGUGGCGAGUGGCGGACGGGUGAGGAAUACAUCGGAAUCUACUUUUUCGUGGGGGAUAACGUAGGGAAACUUACGCUAAUACCGCAUACGACCUACGGGUGAAAGCAGGGGAUCUUCGGACCUUGCGCGAUUGAAUAAGCCGAUGUCGGAUUAGCUAGUUGGCGGGGUAAAGGCCCACCAAGGCAACGAUCCGUAGCUGGUCUGAGAGGAUGAUCAGCCACACUGGAACUGAGACACGGUCCAGACUCCUACGGGAGGCAGCAGUGGGGAAUAUUGGACAAUGGGCGCAAGCCUGAUCCAGCCAUACCGCGUGGGUGAAGAAGGCCUUCGGGUUGUAAAGCCCUUUUGUUGGGAAAGAAAAGCAGCAGGUUAAUACCCCGCUGUUCUGACGGUACCCAAAGAAUAAGCACCGGCUAACUUCGUG